rnacentral:rRNA from 1 species
UACGUAGGUGACCAGCGUUGUCCGGAUUUACUGGGCGUAAAGAGCGCGCAGGCGGUCGUUCAAGUCGAGUGUGAAAGCCCCCGGCUCAACUGGGGAGGGUCACUCGAUACUGAUCGACUUGAAGGCAGGAGAGGGAAGCGGAAUUCCCGGUGUAGUGGUGAAAUGCGUAGAUAUCGGGAGGAACACCAGUGGCGAAGGCGGCUUCCUGGCCUGUUCUUGACGCUGGAGGCGCGAAAGCUAGGGGAGCAAACGGG